ACGCUCGACACCUACUGGAGGCAGCAGUGGGGAAUAUUGCACAAUGGGGGAAACCCUGAUGCAGCGACGCCGCGUGAAGGAAGAAGUAUUUCGGUAUGUAAACUUCUAUCAGCAGGGAAGAAAAUGACGGUACCUGACUAAGAAGCCCCGGCUAACUACGUGCCAACAGCCGCGGUAAUCUGAGCGGGCUGGCAAGGC
rnacentral:rRNA from 1 species